GGUUCGAGUCGAACGCAGUGAGACAGCGUUGCCAGUGGCAACGACCCGUAGGGCGAGCGUAGCAAGUCAUUCUGCACGACCCACCA
rfam:Triticum urartu cultivar G1812 contig1165046, whole genome shotgun sequence.